AUGCGAUAAGUAGUGUGAAUUGCAGAAUUCCGUGAAUCAUCGAAUCUUUGAACGCACAUUGCGCCCCUUGGUAUUCCGGGGGGCAUGCCUGUUCGAGCGUCAUUAAAAACACCAUCAAGCGUCCUAGCUUGGCCUUGAGGGACGAGCGUCUGAGGCGGUCACCCUUGAAAUCCAACGGCGGACUGGCGGGAAGAGCUGCUUGCGGCGAUGAUAAUUUCAUCCUUUCGUGGCAGCAUGCUCUCCGAGCCGCCGUAAACCCCCAACAUUCAAUGGUUGACCUCGGAUCAGGUAGGGAUACCCGCUGAACUUAA
rnacentral:misc_RNA from 1 species